CCUACGGGAGGCAGCAGUGAGGAAUAUUGGUCAAUGGGCGGGAGCCUGAACCAGCCAAGCCGCGUGAGGGAAGAAGGUACAGCGUAUCGUAAACCUCUUUUGUCAGGGAACAAAGGCGGGGACUAGUCCCCGGAUGAGGGUACCUGAAGCAAAAGCAUCGGCUAACUCCAGGCCAGCAGCCCCGGUAAUACGGAGGAUGCGAGCGUUAUCCGGAUUUAUUGGGUUUAGGGGGUGCGCAGGCGGCCUGUUAAGUCAGCGGUAAAAGCCCGGGGCUCAACCCCGGCGAGCCGUUGAAACUGGCGGGCUUGAGUUGGAGAGAAGUACGCGGAAUGCGCGGUGUAGCGGUGAAAUGCUUAGAUAUCGCGCAGAACCCCGAUUGCGAAGGCAGCGUACCGGCUCCACACUGACGCUGAGGCACGAAAGCGUGGGUAUCGAACAGGAUUAGAUACCCUUGUAGUC
rnacentral:rRNA from 1 species